UCCCUAGUGGCUCAGAUGGUAAAGCGUCUGCCUACAAUGCAGGAGACCCGGGUUCGAUCCCUGGGUCGGGAA
rnacentral:tRNA from 1 species